UUCCACGAGCCCUUCUUUUAUGGUUCUGUUUGCACGCUCAACAAGACCUUGAGAGGCUGCAUGAUAGACAGCCCCAAACUUGUGUUUUAUCCCAAACAUCUGUUCAACCAGACGUAGAUCAUCGUUUGAGAAGUGUGUUCCAUUAUCAGAUCUGAUAAUCUCAGGUACCCCAAACCGAGGGAUCACUUCUCUAGUGAGCCACUUGAUUACCUCUUUACCAGUCUCUGUUUUUUCAGGUGCAGUUACAA